UUAUUCAAAAGAUGAUAUUGUUGGAACUUAAUGGACCAUUAGUAAGUCAUGAACGUGGGUACUGUGGUGUCCCCCGGUGUCACUAAAUUUGUAUUUAUCUGCAUCUGCUUAAACUCCUGCUCAAACAACAAGGCUUGUUGAUAGCUACAGUGCCCAACUGUUUUAGGAUGUUAAUUUAAAAUAAAUUAAUUGUGUUUUGUAUAUGCACCGUUUGAAUAGGGCUGCAUUAAGCCCAAAAACGACACACCAACUGUAAAAAACAGUGGAUUUAAUACCCUGCUGUGUUACCCAAGUAUUGAGAGAAUGAUGUACGCUGCAUAGUUUCUCUAGGUAACAUGACCUUUAACCUGGAAAAAGAGACAAAAGUCGCAUACUGUUUUUCUUUACCAGGUCUAGUGGACCAAGGACUGUUUUUUCUUUCUUUUUUUCAGAGAAUUUUUCCACUGAUUUCAGCAGUAACCUCCUAAAAGGAUUGUUUAGUGGGACAAGUUUCAGAAUUUGUUUGGAUGGAAACUCCUCAUGAGAAAGGCAAGAAGUUACUGCUGUCCAAAUUCCCUCGAGGACAGUCAGAGAAUAGGAAGGGCUCCCUAUUACCAAGACCACAAAAUGUGUGUAUGGGCACCAAGAAGGUAGGAUGUGAUCAUUAAGAAUUAACCUUAACCCCAGUGCAGCUAUUCUGAAGGCUUGUGGAACGAACCCCAACAGAUUUCUAAAAUUUUUGUAUCUCUCUCUCUCUCUCUCUCUCUAACAGAAAGUAGCCAGCAAUUCCCUAUCCACAUGGUGAAUAUCAUCACCGUGGGAGGAAGGUGUGAUGUACACCAAACUUUUGGACAGAACUGCUAAAAAAAUUUGACCACAGUGCCAGUCAAGCGGCAAUGAGGGAAUGAAUCAAACUGAGAUGCACAUUAACCUCCAGCUCUCCGAAAUACUCCCAAACCCCCUGAGGACUCAAACCUCACCUGUGGCGAUUAAUUGGUCAACCUCUACAUUGCCCUGCCUCUGCCAGUCUGCCCAGCCAGUUCUCCAUUCGUCUCCCUCUGUCUGCCUGUCAGCUUUGAUUCCUCCCCUUCUCCAGCAGUUUUCCCACAAAACACUAAUCCUGUAGCUUGAGAAUCAGGCGCCAGAGGUUCAGCGAGUGAAAGAGAUUGAGGAUGAACUUUGGCUUACUGUCAGGCUUGGCAACACUUCUACAUAAAACCUCCAAGAGAAGGCAUACUGAUCAGUGAUCACUUGUUGAAGCACAUUACUUUUACAUUUUAAAGUGAAUAGAAUUCAACUUUUUGUAGUAACACACAAUUAAACUCACACUGUACACACAAACAUGAAAUGACUAUAUAAAGAGCAUAAAAACCAUACAAUCUUUUCUAUAAGAGAACAUUCAAAAAGGUGUGAUGUGAGAAAAUACACCUUAAAAAUUACAGAGUGUCUGGAAAACUCUGAGAAGCCUGCAGAAUUGUCCGUGACAUGAAUGAGUAACAUGGCUGUUAUUCAGUUCGGAGCUUAGCAGAUCAUCUAGCUAGUAAAAUGUAGCAGGCCAUUUUUCAAAGAAGGACAUUUUGACUCGCCAGCAGGAUAUAAUAAAAGCAGUGGUUCCCAUUUAGCUCCUUUGAUUGCAGGGUUAGGAGAAAAAUCAAAGUUGUUUCAUUUAAUAAUGUAAACUUAAUGUGUCUCAUCAUAAUUUCAAGGAUGUUGUGUUUAGACUGUGAUUAUUUUGAAUGUGUCGAGUGGUUUCCAGUGUUCACGAGAAAAAUUUUAGUCAUGACUAUGAGCCUCCUGUGGUUAUUAAUGACUCCCAGUCACUGUUUGUGUUCAGAUCUUAAAUAAAAACCAAUUCCAGUGUC